CGUAGGGUCUUUAACGGCCGCAGUACUCUGACUGUGCUAAGGUAGCAUAAUCAUUUGUCUUAUAAUUGAAGACUAGUAUGAAAGGCAUCAUGGAAAUAAGCUGUCUUACAAAAAAUUUCUUAUAACUUUCUAAAGAGGUGAAAAUUCCUCUAUUAAACAAAAUAAGACGAGAAGACCCUUAGAAUUAUAAUUAAACUUAUUAGAAGAAAAUUUUUGUUGGGGCAACAUUAUCAGAUUGAGAACUGAUAAAGAGCUAUAUUACAAGGCCAUUAUUUUAAAAGAGAAUUUAAUUACCUAAGGGAUAACAGCAUAAUUCUUAAUUGAGAGUAUGACCUCGAUGUUGGACUAGGGACUUUUUUCACUAGACG
rnacentral:rRNA from 1 species